ensembl:ncRNA F08G2.12 ncRNA
AUCAGGCAUAGGUCCGGAGUCGGUGGGUUAUCUGAAGAAACCACCCCAUCGGCAACAACUUGACUUCC